rnacentral:rRNA from 1 species
AUUGAACGCUAGCGGGAUGCUUUACACAUGCAAGUCGAACGAGUGGCGGACGGGUGAGUAAUAUAUCGGAACGUGCCCAGUAGCGGGGGAUAACUACUCGAAAGAGUGGCUAAUACCGCAUACUAUUGGAGCGGCCGAUAUGGGAUUAGCGAGUUGGUGGGGUAAAGGCUCACCAAGGCGACGAUCCGUAGCUGGUUUGAGAGGACGAUCAGCCACACUGGGACUGAGACACGGCCCAGACUCCUACGGGAGGCAGCAGUGGGGAAUAUUGGACAAUGGGCGAAAGCCUGAUCCAGCCAUCCCGCGUGUAUGAGAAGGCCUUCGGGUUGUAAAGUACUUUUGGCAGAGAAGCGGUAUCUGCAGAAUAAGCACCGGCUAACUACGUGCCAGCCGCCGCGGUAAUAC